UACGAAGGGUGCAAGCGUUACUCGGAAUUACUGGGCGUAAAGCGCGCGUAGGCGGUUUGUUAAGUCCGGUGUGAAAGCCCUGGGCUCAACCUGGGAAUUGCAGUGGAUACUGGCAAGCUAGAGUGCGGUAGAGGAUGGUGGAAUUCCCGGUGUAGCGGUGAAAUGCGUAGAGAUCGGGAGGAACACCCGUGGCGAAGGCGGCCAGCUGGACCAGCACUGACGCUGAGGCACGAAAGCGUGGGGAGCAAACAGG
rnacentral:rRNA from 1 species